UACGUAGGGUGCGAGCGUUGUCCGGAAUCACUGGGCGUAAAGCGCACGUAGGCGGAUUGGUAAGUCAGGGGUGAAAUCCUGGAGCUCAACUCCAGAACUGCCUUUGAUACUGGCGAUCUUGAGUCCGGGAGAGGUGAGUGGAACUGCGAGUGUAGAGGUGAAAUUCGUAGAUAUUCGCAAGAACACCAGUGGCGAAGGCGGCUCACUGGCCCGGUACUGACGCUGAGGUGCGAAAGCGUGGGGAGCAAACAGG
rnacentral:rRNA from 1 species